GCAGUCGUGGCCGAGUGGUUGAGACGAUGGACUAGAAAUCCAUUGGGGUCUCCCCGCACAGGUUCGAAUCAUGUCGACUGCA
rnacentral:tRNA from 2 species